UUAACACAAUUUUGUGUGGAGUUGGAACGUCUGCCUACGUUUGCCGCUAGGGGCGCUGUUCCGACUGCAUACAAAUUUGAAUUA
rfam:Bombyx mori DNA, contig: Bm_scaf36_contig21750, strain: p50T/Dazao, build 2, whole genome shotgun sequence.